CACGUAGGGUGCGAGCGUUGUCCGGAAUUAUUGGGCGUAAAGGGCGCGUAGGCGGCUUGGCAAGUGGAUGGUGAAAUCCCUCGGCUUAACCGAGGAACUGCCGUCCAAACUGCUUCGCUUGAGACCGGGAGAGGUGAGUGGAAUUCCCAGUGUAGCGGUGAAAUGCGUAGAUAUUGGGAGGAACACCAGUGGCGAAGGCGGCUCACUGGACCGGUACUGACGCUGAUGCGCGAAAGCGUGGGGAGCAAACGGG
rnacentral:rRNA from 1 species